AUUUCAAAAUUUGUGUUCCACAGAUACUUCUAUCAGAUUCCUUAUGUCAGCUAAUUAUUUGCUUUAUGAUUUUUGCCUUUUUGUAGAUGAUCACAAUUUGUUUUAUGAGUUUUUUUGUAGAUGAUCAUGCCCUAUCUCUUCUGUGCCUUUACUGUAGAAAACUGUGAAACUACUCAGGACUACAUCUGAAAGUCCUUACUGCAGUGGGUGCCAGAAUUGCAGUGGGUUUCCUCUGCAGCCACCAGACACUCAGAUUCAUUCAGUGAAAUCUUAAUUUUGUUUCCUGCUUGGCUUUGGGCCUUAAUCUUGUGCCAUCCUGAAAGACUCUGUCUUUCAGGUCCCCCUGGUCAUCCCAAAGCCACAAGGACCUGACAAUUGUCAAUGUAGUGGGAGGGGUUGCACUGAACGGACACUCUCUAUCCUUCUGAGGGAGCCAUACUCCAGGCAGACAUCACAGUCCCGACUCGGUGUGUCCUUCCAAGUAUCCCUGCCCAUCCUGCGGGUGUGAUGCUGAUCCAGGCAUCUUCCUCCCAUUCCUGGGUAGAGGGUCUCCUUGUUUGUUCCAAGAUCUUCUUCCAGCAGCCACUAUGUCUUCCCACUGAUGUCUUCAGCUUCCUUUUUUCUGCCCUUCCCAGCAGGAUGAGGCUGUUUUUCCAGAGGGAAGAGAGAGGAGAUGGGAGAUGAGACUGUUAUUCCUAAGAGAAUGGACAGAGCUUCGGAGCUUUUCUUCCUUCCGUCCCAGUUUCUAUGAGUUCCUCCAGUGCCUGUAACACAGAGGUGUUAGUGGCUUUGCCCCUGUAUGUUAAUUAUUUGGUAAAGUCGUGGUGGCAGGGGAGGUGGGUCUGGAUGCAUUUCAGCCACAGCUGCUGUUCCACUUUCCCACACAGAAACAUCUUGGGAGGGAGAAGCUGGAGAUUUUUGUGAUGUCUCCUCAGUCCUGGCAGAAAAGGUUUCAAUAGCAGUAGGAAUGCCUCAGUUGUAUGUCCUCUGAUAAUUUAAACAAUAACUUCUUUACUAUACUCAACUCUAAACAAUCUGAAGAAUAUGUCUAAUUUAAUCCUGCAUUAGCUUAGAUGACAUUUGCUGACCUCUGCCCCAGAUAAGUUCAUAUUCUCUUCCUGUUUGUUCCUGCAGGUCACUGAGUUUCACAAGAUGUAAGGUCCCUUGUUUGUCCUAUAACAUCAAUAAUCUGAUGUUUUAAAGAAAAUGUGCUAAUUUCCAGCUCAGUAAGGUUAGUUGUUGUAAAAAUAAUACAAUGUUUUCUGGGAUGCCUGCAUCUCCAGGCUGAGUAGAAGCUUUAUUUGUAACACUCAGAAACCGGAAGUAACAAAAAUAUUAAGGAGCUUUAUAAAUAGCAGGGAUGCACUCAUUAACUGGAAUACUGUUCCUCAUUACAAUGAACACAUUCUUCAUACACAACCAAAUUACUGACUCACAAGUAAUUAUACUGAACAAGAAGCCACACAAAUGAAAUAGAAACUGUAAGAUUUCACUUUAACCAAAUCUUGAAAAAUAGAUCUGAAGUAACAAACGUGAGGGACUGACUCAGUAUGGUGAGAGAAAAAUGACUGGGAGGCAGGAAUUGGAGGAACCCAGGGAAACUUUUAAGUGUGAUGCACUGUUAUCUUGACUGUUACCUUGUUAUUUGGGAAGCACAGGUGAGCACAUUUGAAAUUGCAUUUUUUUCCUUUGGAGACAUGAUCUUGCUUUGUCAUCCAGGCUGGAAUUCAGUGGUGAGAUCACAGCUCUCUGCAGCCUCAGACCCUGGGUCUCCAGCAAUCCUCCUCCCGCUACCGUACGUAGCUGGGACUACUGGUAUGUAAGACCAUGCUCAGCUUCAGAGCUUAUUAAAAUGCACACAUUAAUUAAGCAAUAUUUAUUACACAGCAAUAAUGCCUCAAUAAGACUAUUGCAAAUAAGUGGAUAAUUUGUUCAAUAAACAUUGAUGGAAAGAUAGAUGCUAACAUGACAAAAUGCGUGACACCCAAGAAAAUGAAACUGUAGGAAAUGUGCUUUUCUUUACAAUUAUUAGGGAAUCACAACAGUGCAUACAUAUCACACCGUGUUCUCAUUACAGAGAAGAGGUUCUGCAAACCUCACUAGCUGCGACCCCUAUGUGCCGGGCUUGGUUCAGGGAGCAGUCAGGUCCAGUGGUGAGAAGCACAGGUCCAGAUACUCAGGCUCACUCUGACCAAAUGUGAGGUCUGGGGACAUUGUACAACCCAUCUGUGCUUUUGCUGGUAAUUUUUCAUCUGUAACAUGGAAAUGGCAUUGAUACCACAUACCAUGUUUCCUCUACAUAUGUAAAAAUAAAAGAUGAUUGGUGCUAACUUUAAAUAUACACAGUUUAUGUAGAUCGAUUAUACCUCAAUACCACUGUUUUAAACUAGAAAUUACAAAAUUGUAAGUUUUAUAGGUUUUAAUAUUUUAUCACAGAACAAACUUUCAAUAAGUAACCACAAUUUCCAAAAUGCUAUCAAUAUCAAAUAUCUCCCCCAAGACACUCUCCCAUGCUCUGAGCCCCACUCUCUCCUCAGGCCUCUCACCCCAGAGUUUGCUAAAUAGUAGGAGACAUGCAAAUAGAGCCCUCCCUCUGCUGAUGAAAACCAGCCCAGCCCUGACCCUGCAGCUCUGGGAGAGGAGGCCCAGACCUGGCAUUUUCAGGUGUUUUCAUUUGGUGAUCAGGACGGACCACAGAGGACUCACCAUGGAGUUUGGACCGAGCUGGGUUUUUCUUGUUGCUAUUUUAAAAGGUGUCCAGUGUGAGGUGCAGCUGGUGGAGUCUGGGGGAGGCUUGGUACAGCCUGAGGGGUCCCUGAGACUCUCCUGUGUAGCCUCUGGAUUCACCUUCAGUAACUACGACAUGGCCUGGGUCCGCCAGGCUCCAGGGAAGGGGCUGGAGUGGGUCUCACGUAUUAGUAGUCCUAGUGGUAGUAACACAUGGUACCCAGACUCUGUCAAGGGCCGAUUCACCAUCUCCAGAGAGAACGCCAAGAACACGCUGUAUCUUCAAAUGAACAGCCUGAGAGCCGAGGACACGGCUGUGUAUUACUGUGCGAGAGACACAGUGAGGGGAAGUCAGUGUGAGCCCAGACACAAACCUCCCUGCAGAAAUGUUCAGGCGAAAUCAGCUGCAGGGGGCGCUCAGGACCCACUGAUCAGAGUCAACCCCAGAGGCAGGUGCUAUAGAGGCUGAUUUCCUGUCAGGAUGUGGGACCUCGUCUUCUCCUCACGGUUUCUCCAGUGAACCUCUUUAAGUUUAGAAUUCUGUGCUUCCUAAUGUCAUCUCUACAUAUUUUUUAAAAUAUCAUUUUAAUAUGAGGACCUAUUCUCACAUGUACCAAAUGCAGAUUGAUGUUUACAGAGAUGAAAAGGCCUCAACUAUGGCCACCAAGAUCAGAGUCUUGAGGAAAGUGAGCGGUGCCUGGUGAGUCUUCUCCAAUCAGACCCACGACAGAAACCUCAGGGAGAUUCCAGGACUAGAACAAUCUUUGGGAUUCUGAUCACAGCCAAUAGAGAGGCUGGGCCAGGGUCAGUGUCAUGUAGAAGCUCACAGGUUUCUCAUCUGACCCUUCUCCUGACACUAAAGCCAAUCAGUAUCAGCACUGACCUGGUGCUCCUUUUGCUCCCAAUCCAUGUUCUUUUUUUGGAGUGUUUGUUCUCCCUUUUUAUUUGCUUUUCCUGCUUCCUGAAAAAGAAACAGAUGACCUCCGUAGUCUACCUUCCAGGGUUCAAGGCAUUUUCUUGGAGCUCAGGUGGGGCUCAGCCUGUGGCUCCUGCAGCCACGUGGGAGAGGCUGAUGGGACUUCCUUCCCUCCCCAUUUUCUCAGGACCCUCCACUGUGUUGUGUAUAGACUCAUGUGGGAAUGCAAUUGGCCAUUAAUAGUGAAGGGGAUAAACUUAUUUUAUCAAAUGGGAUGUGGAUGUAGAAUUAACCCUGUUCAAGCCGUCAGAGUCAUCUGCUUCAGAAGUAGUGUUAGAAAGAGCUUGGGAAAUUUAUUAGAAUCAAGAUGGAGCCACUUGUGUUAAAACCCUAAUGAAUGAAUCUGGGGAAGCCCACAAAGGAGGGUUCUAACACACAUGUUCCUGAUAACAAGAACUAUCAUAGACUCUGCACUGCCACAACCUUGCAAAAAAGCCAUCACAACCUUAAAAGAAUUAUGUCUCCAAGUAUAUCUGCCCAGCAACUGCUUGUUCAACCUCACACCGAUGUCACCUCUGUUACUGAUCCUUCUAGUCCAGGAUAAUCUAGUCCUGCAUAUCCCAUUUAGAGUUGAUGUAACUCUCUUUAUUUUUCCUUCAUUCUUUAUCUUCCUUUACCAACCUGAAUGUACCCAUACAUAUUUCAAAUGCAAUACCAUACAUAUUUCAAAUGCAAUAUACAUCCUAGAAUAAAUAUUAUUACAUUUUAUAAUCUCUUUGUUAUUCAGGGUUGACAAAUCACAGGUGGACAUGCCACAUUUCUGUGAGGCAUAGAGGAUGACAGAUUUUGGAGAUGUCUAGGAAUAUCCAAUGUCCAGAAGAUCAUCUAUCAAGAAGUGCAGGCUGAAAGUCCCAAAAAGAGGUGAAGCUGCCGAAUUACCAUGGCAUUUAAUUGUAUCCAGUUCUGCUCUGAUGGAAUCUGGCCCACUCAUUUUAUCAUUGACAAUCUACCUAACCUAGAGUCAACUGAU